rnacentral:lncRNA from 1 species
GAGAAUUAACUAACUAUCCCGGAUAACCUUUAAAUUGCAAGGAGUCUUCUUAGCGGCCUUGAAGGAGUGAAAGAGAGAAGAAAGAGUAGCUGUUGUUGGUGUAAGCCUAUCAGCUAUCGAAUAAGCAGUGUUAGCACCAAAGAAGGAUGGAUGGGAGCUGCUGCUAUAAUAUAAGAGUAGAGCGUUGAACUUUAUUGAUUUUACCCGAUGCUCAAGUUCU